rnacentral:rRNA from 1 species
AGUACAGAAGAGGAAAGCGGAAUUCCACGUGUAGCGGUGAAAUGCGUAGAGAUGUGGAGGAACACCAGUGGCGAAGGCGGCUUUCUGGUCUGUAACUGACGCUGAGGCGCGAAAGCGUGGGGAGCAACCAGGAUUAGAUACCCUGGUAGUCCACGCCGUAAACGAUGAGUGCUAAGUGUUAGAGGGUUUCCGCCCUUUAGUGCUGCAGCUAACGCAUUAAGCACUCCGCCUGGGGAGUACGGCCGCAAGGCUGAAACUCAAAGGAAUUGACGGGGGCCCGCACAAGCGGUGGAGCAUGUGGUUUAAUUCGAAGCAACGCGAAGAACCUUACCAGGUCUUGACAUCCCGCUGACCGGCCUAGAGAUAGGCUUUUCCCUUCGGGGACAGCGGUGACAGGUGGUGCAUGGUUGUCGUCAGCUCGUGUCGUGAGAUGUUGGGUUAAGUCCCGCAACGAGCGCAACCCUUGAUCUUAGUUGCCAGCAUUCAGUUGGGCACUCUAAGGUGACUGCCGGUGAUAAACCGGAGGAAGGUGGGGAUGACGUCAAAUCAUCAUGCCCCUUAUGACCUGGGCUACACACGUGCUACAAUGGACGGUACAGAGGGUCGCAACCCCGCGAGGGUGAGCAAAUCCCAUAAAACCGUUCUCAGUUCGGAUUGUAGGCUGCAACUCGCCUACAUGAAGCCGGAAUCGCUAGUAAUCGUGGAUCAGCAUGCCACGGUGAAUACGUUCCCGGGCCUUGUACACACCGCCCGUCACACCACGAGAGUUUGUAACACCCGAAGUCGGUGGGGUAACCCUUACGGGAGCCAGCCGCCGAAGGUGGGACAGAUGAUUGGGGUGAAGUCGUAACAAGGUAACCA